UGGGGAAUAUUGCACAAUGGAGGAAACUCUGAUGCAGCAACGCCGCGUGGAGGAUGACGCAUUUCGGUGUGUAAACUCCUUUUAUAUAGGAAGAUAAUGACGGUACUAUAUGAAUAAGCACCGGCUAACUCCGUGCCAGCAGCCGCGGUAAUACGGAGGGUGCAAGCGUUACUCGGAAUCACUGGGCGUAAAGCGCGCGCAGGCGGCUUUGUAAGUUGGAUGUGAAAUCCUAUGGCUCAACCAUAGAACUGCAUCCAAAACUACUUAGCUAGAGUCUGGGAGGGGAAGAUGGAAUUAGUGGUGUAGGGGUAAAAUCCGUAGAGAUCACUAGGAAUACCAAAAGCGAAGGCGAUCUUCUGGAACAGUACUGACGCUGAGGCGCGAAAGCGUGGGGAGCAAACAG
rnacentral:rRNA from 1 species